UGCAAUUGAUGACCCGAGUCUCACAUGUCUGAAUCCGCAUCCACAUACUAAGUUCAUAGGUCAGAUGACUUCACUCCCUCACGUCCAAAACGUUCUGACAUGCUCCGAUCAAACGAUGGCUCCGCCAUGGAUUUCUACUGAGGACGCGAUUCGACCUUGUCUUCAUUACUUCGUGUGCAACCAAACACCAAACGCCAUGGAAAAAGAUUUGAGAACUCGGUUUCACCAUCUCACGAAGAAUCAAGAACGAAUCUAAUCCGUAUUCAAAUUCGCUGCAACAAACACCGAAAUUGAAUCGUUCAAAGGAUUUUCAGAUUACUACGACACGAUGGCUCCAACAACAAACUUCUUCGAUCUUUGCUCUUCUCCUCUGCUUGCUUUGUUGCGGUGGACGAUGAAGAAGUUAAUACUGUUAUGAAGAAAAACUGAAAGUUAAGAUGUUAAUUGGUUAAUCUAAAAUGCGAGUACUAAAAUUCUGAGUACAGGUUAUUUUGGUUGUUAUUGUUGCUACUAAUUUUCCUUUGUCCUGCCAUGCUUGUUAUUUAUAAGUUGUUACCGAUUUGUUUAGUUAAGUGAUGUUAGAUUAGUUUGUUAGUUAUUCCAACUGCUACGACUAGCUAAUGCAGAUUACGGGUUGCAGGUUGUGUGCAUGAUGUGGAAGUGGCUGCUUGCGGAUCGAAGGUAACCUGUAAAUGGAUGUGCUUCUAAGUCACGAUUAUACCACCAACUGCCGUUGAAACGAAUUUUGCAGGUGAAUGCCAUGGUGAUGAAUUGGAGGGGAACUCAUGUGGAUUAUCCAUGAAAAUGGGGGGUUAGAUCUAGAUUCGUAAUGUUGUAAUAUUUGUAACUAUUGGUUUGAAAAUGCAAUGGGAAUGAUUAUAAUUUGAAUGUUGGAAACGAUGAAUAUAUGUACGGAAGUGGUAUAAAAAAAAGGUUGAAUGAUGCAUGGUUAUGUA